rnacentral:rRNA from 1 species
UCCUACGGGAGGCAGCAGUCAGGAAUAUUGCGCAAUGGAGGAAACUCUGACGCAGCGACGCCGCGUGGGUGAUGAAGGCCUUAGGGUCGUAAACCGCUUUCGGCAGGGACGAAGCGAAAGUGACGGUACCUGCAGAAGAAGGUCCGGCUAACUACGUGCCAGCAGCCGCGGUA